rnacentral:lncRNA from 10 species
UUGACCUCUCUGAGCCCGGGCUGCUCUGUAAAAUGGGUAUAACACAGACCCACAGUUUCUUACUUAAAACCUUGGGGCCAGAUGUGCUUUGGAAUUCAGAAUUCUUUAGAUUUUAGAAACAAUUUGGUGCGUGUAUAGAAUGGCACCCUCAGGGUACCUGGGACCGCAUUCUUGUAAUCAAACAUGUACUUUUUUUUUCUUUUUCUUUUUUUUUCCAUCAGCAAACAUGUAAGUAUUCACGUGCAGCCAGAUAAGUGAAACUGCAACUUAAUCUCAGGUUGGUUCAGGUCAGAUUUCGCCAUCCUGUAAGCUCGGUUUUCAGGCAUUUGGGGAAUCUGGAAUUGAGGAGAGGAGAACGUGGUUCCUUAGGAGAUCAGGCCUGAGAAUCCCCGCACAGAGAGAGAGGGCGCUUCCUCCGCAGGCUUCCCUGCCUGCUGGGGGCCAGGGAGGAGACCAGCUUGUUGGAAGCGGAGACGUCUAAGGAGUUUCCAAAUAGGAAAACCAGCGGCUGCAGGCCUCAGGACGUGGCCGGGCGAGCCGCAGCCUCAUCCCGCGAGCGGGCGUUCCUGAGCUGCCUGCACCACAUGUGGUCCAGAAGAAGCUGAUUCCACUCCCAGGAUCCAGAGAGGCUCAUAAGGCCCAGGCCUCGAAGUCGGAGUAGCCCAUCUUUUCUCCUACCCCCUCCACUUCUGAACCCUGUGCUUGCUAUGGGAUCAGUUCAGGAUCAGAUGGCAGAAUCGCAAGAGCUCCGCAUCCCCAGGGACUCAUCUGAAAGACAAUGUGAAGCAAAGACAAUGUGAGGCGUGGGGAGACUUCCAGCCUGUUGGUCAGAGUUUGCCUCAUGACCCCACCCUGACUGCACGGAAGGCUGGGAAGUGUGGAGGAGGACAUGAGUAGUCAAUGAGCAUUGAGUGCCUCUGCCAUGCUGGGUAUCCCAGGGGAAGAGGAGACACAGGCACAGAGGACUGGAGGACUUUGAGGCUGGAUAUCUAGGUUCAAACCCAAGCUCUUCUAGAAUGACUAGAAGCUAUGUGACCUUGGGAAAAUUACUAAAUGUCUCUGAGUCUUGCUUUUCUCCUGUGCCAAACGGGGAUAAAAUAAGAGUUCCUACCUCACGAGGUUGUUGGGAAGAUAAAUCAGACCAUGCUUAUAAAAAGAGCUAGUGGUGCCCAGCACAAGGUUGGCAUUUGUAUUAGUCUGCUUUCACGCUGCUAAUAAAGACAUAUCCAAGACUGGGUAAUUUAUAAAGAAAAAGAGGUUUAAUGGACUCACAAUUCUACGUGGCUGGGGAGGCCUCACAAUCAUGAUGGAAGGCAAAAGGCAUGUCUUACAUGGUGGCAGGCAAAAAGAGAAUGAGGGAAGCAAGUGAAAGGGGUUUCCCCUUGUACAACCAUCAGCUCUCAUGAGACUUAUUCACUGUCAUUUGAACAGUAUGGGAGAAACCGCCCCCGUGAUUCAAUGAUCUCCCACCGGGUCCCUCCCAAAACACGUGGGAAUUAUGGAAGCUACAAAUCAAAAUGAGAUUUGGUUGGGGACACAGCCAAACCAUAUCAGCAUUUAAUAAGUGGACACUAUUUGAUUAGUCUGUUUAGAAAAAGUUGAAGAUGCUCAACAUAUGACUGAAAAAUAGAGCUAAUUGAAAAAUAUAGCCAAAGCCUCCCUUUCAAUAGCUGGCUCCCUUGUCUGCCCCUGCCCAGGGUCCCCUUGCUCUCCUUCCCUCCCCUCUGCAAGGACUUAUAAGGAUCCCCCAGUCAACCACUCCCCUGUGUGCGAGAAGAUCUGCCCUCUCCCCCAGGGUGCAUGUAUCUGAAGUCUUAGUGUUGGGUACACGCAUCUGAAGUCUUGGUGUUGAUCGUGGGGAGAAAACCUUGGUGCUCUGUUGAAGAAUACCAAACAUUAGCAAGCAGAUGAGAGAGGGGCACAUAUGUUCUCCAAACAGUGCUCCUACUUGUGUUUAUGGCAAACAGGGUGCCCAGAGAAUGGAAGAUGCUGAGAUCCUUGAAAAGUGUCUUGGAGGAGGUCAGGUUUAGGCAAGCGACUAGAAGGAGGGGGACCCCGGGUGGCUGAGGGAGGAGGGAGGGGCUGGAAAAGAGCCUGUAACAACCUCAGCAAUGGAGGAGACAGUAAGAAACCAUGCUGGUGAUGGAGUGGGAGAUAACUCUUCACAUCCAGAGAGCUCUGCACAGUUUAAAAGUAAGGCCACCUGACUGGUGAAAACUCAACAGAGCUCAGUGGCAGGGAGAGCAACAUCUGAACUCUCCUUUCCAGUGUUGCUGUCACUGGGAAGCAGUUGCCGAGCCAGGGACCACAUUUCCCAGGCCCCCUUGGCCCCAUGCCACGUUCUUGCCAAUGGAAUGGGAGCAGAAGUAACGUGUGUCACUUCCAGGCCAAGGCUUUUGAGGAGUGGUUAUGCCUUUCAUGGGGUCUCUUUCCCCUCCUAUUAAAUGAGUGUAGAAGAUGAUAGUUAGACCAGGCGGUGGUAGGGCCUCAAAAUGGAAAAAGCCUGGUCUCUAAAUCACUGCAUGGGGGAAGGUCACCUGCAAACCAAGAACAUCUGCAAUGAACUGGUAAAUAAGUGGGAAAUAAACAAAAUAUAUUUGGGGGUUUAUUUGUUGUAGCAACUAGCAUUGUCUUGAAGCAUGGUGAGUACAUCUUUCUUUGAAGGGGCUUCUGGGGCACUGUGAGGGGUACGGAGGGAUGAAAGCCCCCUUUGGCACUGCCACUGCUCCUCCCCCAAUGGUCCUCUUGCUUCACAAGGGGGAAGCUCUCUUGCUCUCCUUCCUUCCUUCUCCACCCACAUUCUUCCCAACAAGACAGGGACAGGACCCAGCAUGGGUGGAGUUUUGGACAUCCAGUUUGGACAUUCUUAUUUCUUAAGAAUCCUUCCUCAGAGCAUGAGUUGGAAGUUUUGGCACUUUUGAGAGAUGUGACCAGCUGACUCUAUAACUGGGUGGGGCAACAUGGGAAAACGAGAUGGAGAGACCACCAAGGGAGGCAGUCAAUGGAAGGGAGCGGAAAGGAAAGCCAGGCCAGGAGCUUGGAUGUGAUUUUUUUUUUUUUUUGAGACGGAGUCUCGCACUGUUGCCCAGGCGGGAAUCCAGUGGUACAAUCUGCACUCACUGCAAUAUCCGCCUCCCCAGUUUAAGCGAUUCUCCUGCCUCAGCCUCCCAAGUAGCUGGGAUUGCAGGCACCUGCCACCACGACCAGCUAAUUUUUGUAUUUUUAGUAGAGACAGGGUUUCGCCAGGGUUGGCCAGGCUGGUCUCGAACUACCGACCUCAAGUGAUCCACCCAUCUUGGCCUUCCAAAUUGCUGGGAUUACAGGUGUGAGCUACUGCAUCUGUCCUGGCUAUGAUAUUUUGAGUAAAGGGAAGUCCAGGUGUUUCAGACCCCAUCUCCUCCCUGCAGGCUGAGCCAGCUAAGCAAGGAUCAGGGCCCAUUGUGGCUUCUCCUGGAGAGGGGAGAGUAUACCACCUGUACCACUGAGGCCAGCUCAUCUGUCCCCAGAGGACCAUGCUCAUCUCAGGCCAUGGUGGCAACAGCCCCCACAGAGGGGUGGCUGCAUGAUGCAGCUCAGAAGGCUUGGGGGAACAGGAACACCUUCCCAAGGCUCCUUGGCAUUGUCCUGCCUUCACCUCCCAGGACAGUGUUGAGGAAGAACAUUCCUUCUUAGUAACAGGGCAGAGAAAGGAAGACGGUCUUCCCCGAAGUGCUAUGCAUCCGACUUCCCCCCAUCACAUGGCCACCUUUCUUUUCCACCCUCCCAGAUCUUGCACAGCCAUCUGCAAAUAAGUGGUGUUCCUCCACCCCACUUCCCCACACCUAGGAUAACCUGAUGGACUGUCUUUUCUGGUGCUCACCUCUGCUGCUG